rnacentral:rRNA from 1 species
ACGAUGAACCGGUUUCGGCCGGGGAUUAGUGGCGAACGGGUGAGUAACACGUGGGCAAUCUGCCCUGCACUCUGGGACAAGCCCUGGAAACGGGGUCUAAUACCGGAUACGACGCGUUCCCGCAUGGGAUACGCGUGGAAAGCUCCGGCGGUGCAGGAUGAGCCCGCGGCCUAUCAGCUUGUUGGUGGGGUGAUGGCCUACCAAGGCGACGACGGGUAGCCGGCCUGAGAGGGCGACCGGCCACACUGGGACUGAGACACGGCCCAGACUCCUACGGGAGGCAGCAGUGGGGAAUAUUGCACAAUGGGCGAAAGCCUGAUGCAGCGACGCCGCGUGAGGGAUGACGGCCUUCGGGUUGUAAACCUCUUUCAGCAGGGAAGAAGCGAAAGUGACGGUACCUGCAGAAGAAGCGCCGGCUAACUACGUGCCAGCAGCCGCGGUAAUACGUAGGGCGCAAGCGUUGUCCGGAAUUAUUGGGCGUAAAGAGCUCGUAGGCGGCUUGUCGCGUCGGAUGUGAAAGCCCGGGGCUUAACUCCGGGUCUGCAUUCGAUACGGGCAGGCUAGAGUUCGGUAGGGGAGAUCGGAAUUCCUGGUGUAGCGGUGAAAUGCGCAGAUAUCAGGAGGAACACCGGUGGCGAAGGCGGAUCUCUGGGCCGAUACUGACGCUGAGGAGCGAAAGCGUGGGGAGCGAACAGGAUUAGAUACCCUGGUAGUCCACGCCGUAAACGUUGGGAACUAGGUGUGGGCGACAUUCCACGUUGUCCGUGCCGCAGCUAACGCAUUAAGUUCCCCGCCUGGGGAGUACGGCCGCAAGGCUAAAACUCAAAGGAAUCGACGGGGGCCCGCACAAGCGGCGGAGCAUGUGGCUUAAUUCGACGCAACGCGAAGAACCUUACCAAGGCUUGACAUACACCGGAAAACCCUGGAGACAGGGUCCCCCUUGUGGUCGGUGUACAGGUGGUGCAUGGCUGUCGUCAGCUCGUGUCGUGAGAUGUUGGGUUAAGUCCCGCAACGAGCGCAACCCUUGUUCUGUGUUGCCAGCAUGCCUUUCGGGGUGAUGGGGACUCACAGGAGACUGCCGGGGUCAACUCGGAGGAAGGUGGGGACGACGUCAAGUCAUCAUGCCCCUUAUGUCUUGGGCUGCACACGUGCUACAAUGGCCGGUACAAUGAGCUGCGAAGCCGUGAGGUG